CUUCUGUAAGAAGCAUUUCCCUCAUAAUGGAUGAACAACUUGUUUAUAAUUAAACUGAGCCCAGGAACAACUUGGAUAACUCUCUGCCAUCUUCCUAUUCAAGGAGCAGCAAGGCAAGGGCAGGCAGUGCUCGUGUGGAAGGAGUAUCUUUAUCAAAUUCAAGCGUUGCAAACAUACCUUGGUGUAGGAAGGGGAUAUUUUAACUUAACACACACUUUAAGAAGCAGAGGCAUAGGAGGAGGGACAUGCCCCUAGGUGGAGAUUCUUUUGGUUAGGGACAUGCACUGGACAAUGGCCUUGUUUAAACAUUGGAUCUCACCUGAAAGAGUUGUGGAAGCAUCCCAGCAGCUGCAGGGGUCGGAGCAGUUGUCCUGGAGCUAGAAUAGCCUAAAGUUUUCUUUUCUUUCUCUGCAUCUGUCUGGAAAUGUAGCAGCUCCACCACUGUUUUUUUAAUCAGAAAGUCGAGUCUAUCUUUUCUUUUACCUUCACUUUUCUCUAGUGAUUAGAGUGAUUUUAGGACAAUCAGCAAAAUACAGAUACUCCAUUUCCCAAUGAAACAAUAAGCCAUAAAACAAGAUUACUGGAACAUUCUUGCAAUUCCCAAUACGCCCCUGAAGUCUUGGGGAGUAACUGAGUGCCUCCAUACUAAACAGCAGGGACUACUUUGAAUGCUGGUCAUUCAGGGCAUCAGCCAAGAGGGACGUCCUCCAGGGAUCAGUGUUAGCCAGUGUUUCUGGAAUGUGCCACACAGGGAUGGGAGGACAUUCAGGCCUCCCACAAGUUUGAAACAAGAGACAAGAGGGAAUAUGAUUUUCCAAGGCUGAAAGAGCACCACUUCAAAGCAAAGGCUAAACAAUCGAUGCUCCCAUCUAGUGGUGAAUCUGUACCCAAUGGCUUAGACAUUGGACAUCAACCUGAGCACCCCAGGGAAUAUGGAUGGACCAUGCCACAGGACAGUGCCAAUCCUGGGAACUUCUGUAGGGCUUUGCAGUCUGUGAUAGAUUACCAGACACAUUUGAAAACUCAAGAGAAACCAACUAAUAAUGUAAUUUAAAACUACAGCAUCAGUAAUAAUACAUAAAAAGGUAACAUCAGGAUCAAGGGUGCUUUUAGGGUAAGGGAAGUGUGAUAUAGGAUUCUCAAAAUUUCUUAAGUAACUGUCAGUGAGGUGUAGGUGCUCACAUUAUCUUGGCUUUGGUUCCUAAAGCAUGAAGGCCCCUAUCAAAAUGUUAUCCAAAGUUGGUAAUUACUUGUUGUUACACUGAUUACCAUGUAAUUAAUAUGCUAAUGUCCUAAUACACUGCUGAACUUAUAAUUAUUAGCUAGAACAAUAUCAUGCUUUUGUUUGUUUGUUUCUCUUUUAGUUUAUAUCUGAAAGCUUACAGUAAGAUGUGAACAAUUACCAUAUGCUCAGUUUGUGACAUCAUUAGGAGUCACCCCAUGACACUACUGUAAAUCAUUUUACGAGGUCUGCUCAGUUCUUUCUAAUAUCCUUAUUUUUACUCAUUAUGCUUGGGAGCUGAACAGAUCAGCAGGAAAAUGGUGCUGUACUUCUCACUGGAUCUUGGUUUUAAAGGCACAGCUGCUGCCUACAGGAUAUCCCCAGAAGCAAAAUUCAUUAAUGAUGCUGAGACGGUACUUUGUCACAAGAAUGUGCUGUACAAUUGGAUUUAUGUGCUUCUACACUACUGAAAUCUCAGUAUGCUCCUGCAUCAUCUCUGGCACCAGGUACUUGGGCACGUUUCCUUAGUCUUACACAGGUGCAUGCCUUCACUGAUACCAGGAUUUCACAGAACAUAAAGUUACCUUUUCCCAAACUCUACCUGCUGUAGUUUUACUUAGGUUUUAUGAUUUUCUUCUUCUGGAAGCAGGUGAUAGUUGGAGCAAGAGGUCAUUGCUGGAGUUAAGGAAAACAGUAACUCUUUGAGCUAGCAAAUACAACAAAGAUAUAGAUCUAAAUGGAAUAGGACUAUAAGCUCAAACUCACAUUCACCAUAUUCUUUCUGUGCCAUGCUGAAACAUUCUUUAUCUUUAGAUCAAAACCUUUUCCCUUCCCUUCCCUUCCCUUCCCUUCCCUUCCCUUCCCUUCCCUUCCCUUCCCUUCCCUUCCCUUCCCUUCCCUUCCCUUCCCUUCCCUUCCCUUCCCUUCCCUUCCCUUCCCUUCCCUUCCCUUCCCUUCCCUUCCCUUCCCUUCCCUUCCCUUCCCUUCCCUUCCCUUCCCUUCCCUCCCCUCCCCUCCCCUCCCCUCCCCUCCCCUCCCCUCCCCUCCCCUCCCCUUCCCACCAGUCUUUCAGUUCUCACUUUGUUUUUUUCUUCCUCUUUCUCCAAAUGGCUGGUGAAUGAUUGCAACCUGAGCUAGUCUUCCCACUAACUUGAACUGCUCAGACCUUGGCAACAAAUUUAAGUAAUUGUCCAGUUAUUUAAGAUAUAGCAGCCAGUUAUUAGUCUAAGAGGAUUUCCAUGUAAUGGAGAAACACAGAUGUUCAGCAGUUUCCCAUUAUUAGGUGCGUGUCACUGCUCUUUUAGUUUUCCUCUGGUGGGCAGAUGGGCCAAAUGUUCCAAGAGCUGCAAUGUGAUAUAGAUAUGUAUUCAUAGUCCCUGAUGAGAAACAUAAAAAACUUUAUAUGGAGGCCUCAAAUUGAUACCAUUGUUUGUUGCAAAUUUCCCAGAUGUUAUGAUUCAAAUGUUUUUAUGAUGAAGGGAAAAACAGCACUUUCCCUGCAGUCAGAGGAACUCAAGGCUUUCCAAUUAUGGUCACACACUCAGACUUAUUAGCACAAAAUUUAAUUUGAGUUAAUCAGACUGAGGUGGGUAGAGCGCGAAAUUAACUUGACUUUCAUUUUACAUCAUACAGCAAACCAACUUGGUGAAGUCGCUGUAGAAAUCUGAGCUGUGAAUGAUGGAUGAGCUGAAAAAAACCCAGAGAAUAAACAGGGUUGUGUAAUCAUCCCUGCACUAGAAAGGACACAAUAUUCAAUUCACUUGUUUGGAGAAAUGCUUUAUUUCUCAGGCAAAUCAAAGGGCGCAUGCCCUCAGCUGCACCCAUAUUUUGCAUCUGAAGCUGAGAACAAAGUUUGGACCCAAGUAAUUGUCUUUAGCAUAUUCUCUGUUUUGAGAGCUAUAUAUGCUCUGUCAGUCGAUCUUGCCAAUAAUUUUUCAAACUGUUAUUUUUGCCAGAAAAUUACCAUUUAAUGCAUAUAGAAACACAUCAGUUUUGAUGAAAUUCCCAUUUGCAGUUCAAGACUCUUGUUCAAAAUCCAGAGAGAAAGAGAAGCAUUUACUAGAGACAAGCCAGAAGCCACAGGGUGCCCAACUGGGAUAUGGGUUUCAAGUAUCUGCUCCUCAUGAGGAAGUGUAAGAAUAUACACCCGAAAUCUUCCACAACCCAGAGAAGUACACUGAUGACUGGCUCUUCUGGAAAUGUGUUUUACCUUGAACUUAUUCAAAAAGCUUCUGUUUCACUUCAAUUAAGAACAAAGUCUUGACAUUUUCCUUUUACUUUCUUCUCUUCUUUUCAAACCAAAAUUCUAUUUUCUAGCCAAAUCUAAUAUUAAUUCUCUUUUCCCAACUCUCUGUCACCUUUCCUGUGUGGCUAAAAUAAAUAUUUUGGAGAUAGAUGAAGCCCUAUACACUGGAGCCACAAGUGCAUCCACUUGAGCCAUUUCCUCAUAAACAUCAGGUAAAAUAAAACAAUGCUUCUCAAAUAUUUUCAGUAAGAUUUUAACAACUUGAUCCACCUCUUGCCACAAAAAGAGAUAUUUCUGUCUUGGAGCAAACUGCAAAUUUGAGAAGGGUACUGCCACAGGAAGAAAGCUGCAGAACAUUUUGGAACAUAAAAGAGGCGGGUUUGGAUGGGGGGAUGGAAAGAGAGAGAAAGGUACCCAUUUCCUUCAACAAGAGCAUAGAAAACAGAAACAGUAAAGUUCACUUCUGUGCAGGAAGACCUGGGUAAGACAAGGACUUAGGCAACCUCAGCUGGACCAAGAGAAUCAGGAAAAGGGACAUGUGUUUACAGCAGUGGUAACAGGUGUUCAAAUGCCACCUACCUCCUGACAACAGGACAAUCCUUCUCCUGUUUAUACCUGCUGGUAUAUAUAGGAGCAGAAUGUUCCCCCACAAAAUUGCCUUAAUUUGGGGUUUUUUUUCAGAAAAAGAGUAAAUUUUAUCACCAAAUGGGAAACAGUGCUUACUGUUCACAUUUUAAAAUGUGAAAUGUGCUGGAAAAUAAAGACUUUAAUUAAA